AAUACUUGUCGCUUUGAGUUUUUGUUUGUAACUUUUGAUCAUUCGUCUUAUUCAAAAAAUUAUGAAAUUAUUAUUUAUUUUGUUUAUGAUUUGCUUUGUUAUCGAUAGUACUUUAAGUAUAGCUUAUCUUUUUUAUAUUUGUACUAAUUUUUCAAAUAAAAUGAAUGGUCAAACGUUGCAAAGAAAAAGUCAAAGCGAGAACUAAA
rfam:Oryza nivara chromosome 5, whole genome shotgun sequence.